GCGCGGAAAGUGGCUCGGCGGCGGGCGGGCGGAGAGCUCCAGCAUUGCAAAAUCUCCUUUCCUAAACACAGUGAAUCCAAAUGGACCUGCCUGUGCAUCUCUCCCACAGGAACCACCUUCAGAAAGGUUAUUUUGGGAGUUCCUUGGGAUUGAAGGCUGCUCAGAUAGGGCUGAUGGCUCAUUGCUUUCUCUGUGCUAAAAAGGUCAGGCUGCUCCAGGUGACCUUUCUGCUGGGAAAGCUGCAGGUCUGUGAGCUGCCUUUUUGCUGUCCCGUGUGAAGGGAUUGCUCUACAGAUUCAGCAUGAACAGCUCUGUGCUUCCCUUGCUCUGGGAAUUGGAAAACCCAAAACUGCCACACACACUGAAGGGUUUGAGCUGCAGCCUUGGGAGCAGCUUGGACUGAUGUAAAAAUACAAUAUACAGACAUUAAGCAGAAAAAUCAUAAACUUAUGUUGCUAUAAGAAAGUUGUAAGUAAGAAUAUGCCUUAAGUGAGAAACUGCAUUGAUAAAAUGGUGAACCCUACCCUGAUGUAGGGGUGUGGUUGUAUAGAGCAAGCUAAGGAUUCAGAAAUUAUAAAAGAAGCAUUUGUGUGUACAUGUGAUAGCAGCCCAUUGGAUAAAAGUAUCUGCAGUGCAGAAAAAUUCAGUAAAGGUGAUAGGUCAGAAAAGCAAAAUAAACUUUGUGGCAACUGUCCACUGUGUUAGAAAGUUCUAUAUUGCUUGUAACAAAUAACUUGACUACUUUGAGCUAUGGCCAGCUGCUUGGUCUCAUGGCCUCUGAGACUGAUGUUACUCUGAGCAAUAAAUCCUUCUUAGCCCAAAA